rnacentral:rRNA from 1 species
ACUCCUACGGGAGGCAGCAGUGGGGAAUAUUGCACAAUGGGGGAAACCCUGAUGCAGCCAUGCCGCGUGUGUGAAGAAGGCCUUGGGUUGUAAAGCACUUUCAGUAGGGAGGAAGGUAGUGUAGUUAACACCUGCAUUAUUUGACGUUACCUACAGAAGAAGCACCGGCUAACUCCGUGCCAGCAGCCGCGGUAAUACGGAGGGUGCGAGCGUUAAUCGGAAUUACUGGGCGUAAAGCGCAUGCAGGCGGCCUGUUAAGUCAGAUGUGAAAGCCCGGGGCUUAACCUCGGAAUUGCAUUUGAAACUGGCAGGCUAGAGUCUUGUAGAGGGGUUAGAAUUUCAGGUGUAGCGGUGAAAUGCGUAGAGAUCUGAAGGAAUACCAGUGGCGAAGCGGCCCCCUGGACAAAGACUGACGCUCAGAUGCGAAAGCGUGGGAGCAAACAGGAUUAGAUACCCCUGGUAGACUGUCA